UCUUACCAGAACAGCAGCAUGAGUUCUUAAGGAUGCUGAACCACCUGUGUGAGUUGGAGGGUAGUGGUCCGUCCCACCACGACGAUUUUUCUUUUGAGUUUUUGAUUUAGUCUGGAAAUCUGGAGUUUUCCAAAACUCAACCCAAGGUAGCCAUACAUGCAUGGCUACUCUAUUGUCCACUUCACCAGCUUCCCAUUUUUUCCGAGCAUCACUACAAAAGUUGGAAUAUCGAUUUCUUGCUUUUUUUACCCAUGCUUUGUAUAUUUGUUUGUCUUCUUGUCUCCAAACAAAAGAUUUCUGCAAAAAAUAAUAAUAUUAUUUGGAUCAUCAACAUGAUCUGCCCCGGUGUAAACAAAGCCAUCUUGCACUUAAACAAGUGAUUUGACUGAUAUUGUUUGAUAGUUUUAUAUUUCUAUUACUCAGAACUUGGUUUCCCAGACCUUCCGCAAAUUAAAUCUAACUCUGUAGUUUACUUAGCGAUCAUAGGGAUUACGUCGAUNCUUCAUCUCUUCCAUUUGGUUUCUCAUAUCUUCAAGUUCCUUAUCUCUCGUCUCCUGUAACUCCUUUACCUGUUCCUUCAUUUCUUGGAGCUCAACCUGCAUUAGCUCAUAUUCUUUAUUGAAGUUAGAGCCACUGUAACGGGAAGUGGAUGUACUGCUCUUGCUUUCUGGCCCAUAUAUGACGCUUUGCAAAGAACCCAAGCCAUAUAUUCUAUUUCUUUUGUCCAGCCCUCCAACUGCCUCCAAGAAUAUUUCGUCUUCAUCAACAAUCUGAGGUUCAUCAGAACCUUCAAUAGGUUUAGAGCGUUCCUCACGAAUUUCAAUAACCUUAUUCUGUAAAAUAAUGAAAACACAUCAUACCAAUUAAUUUUUGUGCAACAAUAACGACAAUAAAAAUAUUAAAACUCCUACAGCACUCGCAAUUGCAAUAUUUCGGAAUACUACUUACAUAUACUGCUUCCGCUUUCUUAGUAACAAAGGUCUUUUUGUCACGUUUCUUAGUAUGUGUAAGCAAAUACACAUCGGCCGGAGUUGGAUCUUUACCAUUAGUCUCCGCCUGAAAUUAAAUUUAAUUUACAAGUUAAAAAAACACUUACUAGUAUGUCCUGCAUUUCUGAUCACAGGUAAAUUCCAAGCCAAGCCAACAACAAAGCUCAUUACAGUAUAUAUUACUUCACCAGAAAACUAUUAUCUGCCAGUUUUCUGUUCAUAUUUUUCAGAUAUCCAUAUAUUAAUUUAAGUACACUGCAACAACAGGAGUGCGAUCUUUUAAAGGUUCUCUACAAUGUUAUUCCAUAUAAAAAUUAAAACAAAAUGUUCAUAAUAAUCAUUUGACAAUAAAAAUUCUAAGAUUCUAAAGGCCAAGUGAAUCUCAUUUGUUAUCCUGCCAAAAUCACUAUCAAGCUGCUUUCAACAAGUUGUAAAUAGUAUAAUUGGCAUUUAUACAUUUGCCCGUGCACCACAGCCUAGCACAACAAACAAUUACAUGUUCUGUAAUAUAGUAGUAUUAAACUUGAUUAUUCCUAAUAGCUCAGUGUUUAUCUAUUUGCAGCGGAAAUGUUUGAUAAAUUCAGGCUAAUCAUUCUUUCUGACGAACGCGCAAAGAUAAUUAGUGCAAAAUAGAUAAACAUGUACUCAAGGAAGAACCAGAGCCUCAAUGGAUUUCAAAACCGCAUGGUAUAUUACUUCAUUCAGAAUAAUUAAAUCAUAUGAAUUUCAAACAAAAUUAUCUUAGUCGAUUAUCCUCUAUCACAGGCUGUCCAUAUAAUAGUCAUUACAAUAAAAAGCAUUAAACCAAAACCAAACAAUCAAUAAAGAAUAACAAAAUAAAUUAGAUUAGUUAAGUUCAAGCUCUUACCAGAACAGCAGCAUGAGUUCUUAAGGAUGCUGAACCACCUGUGUGAGUUGGAGGGUAGUGGUCCGUCCCACCACGACGAUUUUUCUUUUGAGUUUUUGAUUUAGUCUGGAAAUCUGGAGUUUUCCAAAACUCAACCCAAGGUAGCCAUACAUGCAUGGCUACUCUAUUGUCCACUUCACCAGCUUCCCAUUUUUUCCGAGCAUCACUACAAAAGUUGGAAUAUCGAUUUCUUGCUUUUU
rnacentral:lncRNA from 1 species